UUGAAAAAAAAAGGAUGUCAAUCGUUCUUGGGCUCGUGGCUAUAAGCGGGGGCAGAUGGAGUGGCCAGGUAUGCUUUCUCUCUCGAACUGCUUUGGUUACGUAUUGUUUAUUGAUUGAUCAAUUGAUGUUUGUAGGGUGUCCUGUUGCUGAUUGAUGUCAUGGCCAAUCUUGCAAUGUGCGCUCCUUUUGUCUUCAGGUUGCAUCUGCGUCCAUCUCCACUUGGAAGACGUCUGUGGGCUGAUAUUUCUUACACUAAUUUUUUCUUCUACUAGUGAUGUGUUCUUCUUCCGUCUAAGAGUGAUGUGUUCAGCUGGCAAUAACUGCAAAAUCGCACGUUGCCUUGAUUAUGAAUAUCUGCAUAAUUUUUUAUCAUCGUGACUUAAUUCGGAUUAAUCUAAUUUGAGAGUUUCAUAUUGGUCACAAGGUGUCUCCCUCUCACACCAGAUUAUUCCCUACGGUGGAGAAAUUAACCAUCUUGCAAGAAGAACGAGGAUAUGGACAAGCUAAAGCACAUGGAAGAUGGCUAGGCCAUGGAUCUGAUCUGGGAAGAAACAAAAUACGAAACGUAUUUUCAUGUUGUAUACUUUGGAACACCAUCUACCAUCUGUUCAAUGCUGAAACCCAGCGAUGGAGUUUGUCAGUAUUCUUUGACAUCAACUACGAACUGCAUGUGCAGGUUUUGAACUGCCAUGAUUCUGCUAUCUACAUAUAUAUUAGCACCGGUAAAUUAUGCUACCAAGUAUAAAUGUUCUGAUACUAUUAUUCUUGGUGAUGUUGGUAAGUGUUCAUCAGAUUUGGUUAUUCCUAACAUGCUGUGUUAUGUCGAUCCAAUUUUCUUUGAUAUAGUUUGCUUCUUGGCAAAAUAGCAGAAUUACUUGCCGUUGAAAUAUAUUUUGUUUGCAGGGUGUAGUGCUAUUUAGCAUAAGUUCUGAAGUUUCCUUUGUUUAGUUCCAAAAGAAAAUAGUACUGUGAAAAUAAAACAUGUUGAACAAGUUAGGUGUAUAUUUACCAAAAUUUAUAUUUUCUCAUGGACAGUUUCCCAAGAGACAAUGGAGAAAAGGAUUAUAAAUACUUGCAAUAGACGUGGAUAGUAUGUCAGUAUUCUCUAACAUCAACUACAAACUGCUUGUGCAGGUUUUCAACUGCCAUGAUUCUGCUAUCAACAUAUAUAUUAUCACCGGUAAAUUAUGCUACCAAGUAUAAAUGUUCUGAUACUACUAUUCUUGGUGUUGUUGGUACUAGCUGAAUGUAAGGUUGCUGUCAAGAGGAAUUUGUUGAGAGGAUCAUGGUUGCAUGCAAGCAAGCUGAUAUUUUGUUGUUAGAUGCUUAGAUGCUUGAAAUACUAGUAUGAUGUCAAGCGUUCAUAAGUUUUGGGGACCUGAUGUAGUCUCAGGCUGUAACUCUAUGUGUUUGUAAAU